rnacentral:rRNA from 1 species
GACGAACGCUGGCGGCGUGCUUAACACAUGCAAGUCGAACGGAAAGGCCCUGCUUUUGUGGGGUGCUCGAGUGGCGAACGGGUGAGUAACACGUGAGUAACCUGCCCUUGACUUGGGAUAACUUCAGGAAACUGGGGCUAAUACCGGAUAGGAGCUCCUGCUGCAUGGUGGGGGUUGGAAAGUUUCGGCGGUUGGGGAUGGACUCGCGGCUUAUCAGCUUGUUGGUGGGGUAGUGGCUUACCAAGGCUUUGACGGGUAGCCGGCCUGAGAGGGUGACCGGCCACAUUGGGACUGAGAUACGGCCCAGACUCCUACGGGAGGCAGCAGUGGGGAAUAUUGCACAAUGGGCGGAAGCCUGAUGCAGCAACGCCGCGUGCGGGAUGACGGCCUUCGGGCUGUAAACCGCUUUCGCCUGUGACGAAGCGUGAGUGACGGUAAUGGGUAAAGAAGCACCGGCUAACUACGUG